rnacentral:lncRNA from 1 species
UCAGUCCACUGCAACCUCUGCCUCCCGGGUUCAAGUGAUCCUCCUGCCUCAGCCUCCCAAGUAGCUGGGAUUACAGGCAAGUACCAGCAUGCCCAGCUAAUUUUUGUAUUUUUAGUAGAGACACGGUUUCACCCAUGUUGGCUAGGCUGGUCUCAAACUCCGAGGCCACCCAAAGUGCUGGGAUACAGGCAUGAGCCACAGCACCCAGCCAGGUUUCCAUUGCCUUUCAUAUAUUAUUUCACUUCCUUUUCCUUAAAAAUUCCUUAUUUCGGUGAAAUUACUACUUUUUUAAAAAAAAUUUGCUUUAUCAGAAUGUAUACUGCUGCUAUGGUCUGAAUGUUUGUGUGUCCCCAGAAUUCAUAUAUUGAAACCUAAUCAGUCAUCACUGUGAUGGUAUUAGGAAGUGAGGCCCUUUGGAGAUACCCUCUUAUAUAAGAUUAGUGCCCUUAUAAAAAAAUGGCCACAGAGAGCUGCCAUACCCUUCCACUGUGUGACGACAUAGCAAGAAGUCACCAUCAUUGACCCUCACCAGACACCAGAUCUGCUGGUGCCUUCAUCUUGUACUUCUCAACUUCCAGAACUGUGAGAAAUAAAUGUUUGUUGUUUAUACAUCACCGAGUUUAUGGUGUUUUUGUUAUAAUAUACUGAACAGAUUAAGACACAUGUACACUUUUUUCUCUCUUCCUUUUUUUAAGAGACAGGGUCUCACUCUGUUGCCCAG